UGUCUAGGGGCUCAAACCUAAGACCCAAAUAUCUAAACGGAGAAAUUCAAUACUACACGUUAAACACGUAGUGUGCACUUUUCUCUUAGUAAGACACCGUGAUCCAUUAGAAAUUGAUACAUACAAAAUGUAUAUUGGGUCAUCAAUAGGACAAUAUGAAGUUUAUAGGAACAAAUGAUGUAGCCUUUUACGGUUAUAUGUAUUGUCUUGUAAGCAUAUUGUUAUUAACCUGUAAUGACUGUCUGAUGGAUUUUAAAGAUCACAUUAUUAUGAUGUUAAGGCAUCACUCAUUUUAUUAUGAGAGAAUUUAUAUAUGUGUGUGUCUGAUCAACGGUGGUUAAAUUUGGGAUACCUUUUGGACCCGUCUUGAAACACGGACCAAGGAGUCUAUCUAGUAUGCGAGUAAAUGGAUAGUUAAUGAAAUCUAUUUGCAUAAUAAACUUGACUUUUAUAUAAUGGGAAUACGAUUAUUGUUAUUUAAUAUAAUAAUAAUCUUCCAUCCCGGGGUAUUUUUAUCAACAUAUACAUUUAUUUGUAUAUGAAAAAUAUACCAUGAGCACACUGGAUACGACCCGAAAGAUGGUGAACUAUGCCUGAUCAGGUCGAAGUCAGGGGAAACCCUGAUGGAGGACCGAAGCAGUUCUGACGUGCAAAUCGAUUGUCAGAAUUGGGCAUAGGGGCGAAAGACCAAUCGAACCAUC
rnacentral:rRNA from 1 species